AUUGAACGCUGGCGGCAAGCCUAACACAUGCAAGUCGAGCGGAUGAAGAGAGCUUGCUCUCUGAUUUAGCGGCGGACGGGUGAGUAAUGCCUAGGAAUCUGCCUGGUAGUGGGGGAUAACGUUCCGAAAGGAACGCUAAUACCGCAUACGUCCUACGGGAGAAAGCAGGGGACCUUCGGGCCCUGCGCUAUCAGAUGAGCCUAGGUCGGAUUAGCUAGUUGGUGAGGUAAUGGCUCACCAAGGCGACGAUCCGUAACUGGUCUGAGAGGAUGAUCAGUCACACUGGAACUGAGACACGGUCCAGACUCCUACGGGAGGCAGCAGUGGGGAAUAUUGGACAAUGGGCGAAAGACUGAUCCAGCCAUGCCGCGUGUGUGAAGAAGGUCUUCGGAUUGUAAAGCACUUUAAGUUGGGAGGAAGGGCAGUAAGUUAAUACCUUGCUGUUUUGACGUUACCGACAGAAUAAGCACCGGCUAACUUCGUGCCAGCCGCCGCCGUAACAC
rnacentral:rRNA from 1 species